GCUAAACCCUGAUGUCACAUCAAACACCACUGGAUUAAGGCUGUAAAGAAGACGGGGCGGGUUGACCAAUCAGAAGAAAUGGGCGUUUCAGUGCACCCACAUAAAUCCUCCAGUUUGAUUCUGAGUUGAGUGACAGAUUUCACUACAUGUUCAUAAGAGAGACGAGAAGUGACAUUGAUGCUGUCAGAGGAUCCAGGAUGGACAGAGAGCGACUGGAAACUCUAU